UUACAAACUAAAAUAUUUAGGGUUGGUCACAAACCCAGUUAAGCUAAUCACCAAUAUAAUUCGAUUCUUUCCUAUUUUCAUAAUAAAAAUGAUUACAUUUCAACCAAUAAGCUUAGUUCAGCAGCAAUAUUAAAAUCGUCUUUAAAAUUAUAAAUACUUGAGUUUGGGUCUUAAUUAAAAUCAAUUGAAAUAAAAAAUAUAUAUAUACAUUACAGGUCAGCCAAUCCCAAUGGUGAAGCAACCGUCAGAGAGUGUCUAAGCAUCACAUGAAGGCCUCCACGUGAAGCGUGAAAUGUCAAGCGGGCAUAACUUGCUUUCUGGGGGAGAUCCCAAAACAAAUGAACUUUGAGGAGCUAAAGGGGCCUUUUGAAAACAAAAGUUGAAAUUACAUAGUCAGUCACUAUACUUGCAUCCUUCAACAUAUUUGACAAAAAUUAGGAUCUGAAAAGGCUUCUAGCAGUCAUGGAGUGUGGUCACAGGAAGGGUAGCAGUGGCUUUCAAGAGAAAUGUGUGCAUAGUCAGUCCUUCAUUAGGUCUUAACCAGACGAGCAGCAAAGGCUCCAUCAAUUGAAUGUUUUACUGGGAAAGAGAAAUAAAAACCACGCUCCGUCACAAAAUCAGGUGGCACAUAUCCAUCAACAGGAUCUAUUUGAAAUUCGGGAUGCCUGAGAAGAAAUGCAUCCACCCUCUCUUCAUUCUCCUCAGGAUCUAUGGAACAGGUACUGUAUACUAAAAUUCCACCAGGCUUUACCAGUCUGCAAAUGAAAAAUAUAGUUCAUAAGGCAAAACACAUUAGAAAUAAUGUGCUUAAUCAAGGAAUAAGGUCUUAGCUUCCUUGGUAGCUACUGCAUUUUACAUUGCAUCUACUAUGAAAAAAUAAAAAGUGCCGACAGAUUCUUCCCCAGAAACCAUGUUGUAUUAGUUUAAACAAAAACAUAUGCUCAUGUUGUGUUUGUGUGUGCGAAACAGCAUAUAAUAAGAGAAAGAGGAAAUUUUGAGAUCUCACGUGGAAGCUGCAUUCAGGAGCUCAUCCUGCAAAUUUUUUAGUUCCUCAAAAUCCUCCAAACUUCUAUUCCAACGCAAGUCCGCUCUCUUGAAUAGGAAAAGAUAAUCAAUAAGUGGAUCUUGUAUUCUCAAUUGAAAAAAAGUCCGAAUACAUAAAUUAACUCCUGAAUUUUACCUUAAAAUUUUGAUGACCCCCCAACUUUUAUUGUGACCUAUCCCUUAUAGUUUUAUUUUUAUAACCGAUAGAUACUUAGUUGAACAAAUAAUUGGUACAUUUAUCACACACAGGUUGAUACAGUAAAAAUUAAGAAUAUUGAUAUCAC
rnacentral:misc_RNA from 1 species